GCUGACCCUGGACAACCUGACACGGCCGCAGCUGGUGGCCCUGUGCAAGCUGCUGGAGCUACAGUCCAUCGGCACCAACAACUUCCUGCGCUUCCAGCUUACCAUGCGGCUGCGCUCCAUAAAGGCAGACGACAAGCUGAUUGCUGAGGAAGGGGUGGACAGCCUGAGCGUCAAGGAGCUGCAGGCAGCAUGUCGGGCACGAGGCAUGCGGGCCCUGGGCGUCACGGAAGACCGCCUGAGGGGUCAGCUGAAGCAGUGGCUGGACCUGCACUUGCAUCAGGAGAUCCCCACAUCGCUGCUCAUCCUGUCCCGGGCCAUGUACCUCCCGGACACCCUCUCUCCAGCUGACCAGCUCAAGUCCACACUGCAGACCCUCCCAGAGAUUGUGGCAAAGGAAGCGCAGGUAAAAGCGGCCGAGGUGGAGGGCGAGCAGGUGGACAACAAGGCCAAGCUGGAGGCCACGCUGCAGGAGGAGGCGGCCAUCCAGCAGGAACACCGUGAGAAGGAGCUGCAGAAGCGCUCAGAGGCGGCGGUAAGCGGUGGCCCUGCUCCAUGGGGCAUGGGGCUGUCCUGACCCAGCCUCCCUAGAAACCCCCGCAAGCCCAGUCUUGGCCUCCCGUGUGCUUGCCCUGCAGCUCUGUCCUUCAUUUUUAUUUCCUCCUGGGGUGGUCAGGGAGGCAGGGUGCCUGGGUGUGAGGGCUGCAACUCUGACAUGGGGACUCCCCAAUGGCCACAGUGGUGCUC
rnacentral:sRNA from 1 species